rnacentral:rRNA from 1 species
GAUGAACGCUAGCUACAGGCUUAACACAUGCAAGUCGAGGGACCGGCGCACGGGUGAGUAACACGUAUCCAACCUGCCCUUUACUCGGGGAUAUCCUUUCGAAAGAAAGAUUACUACCCUAUAUCAUGGUUUGUGAUGCGUUCCAUUAGGUUGUUGGUGAGGUAACGGCACACCAAGCCUUCGCUGGCUAGGGGUUCUGAGAGGAAGGUCCACCACAGUGGAACUGAGACCAGGUCCAAACUCCUACGGGAGGCAGCAGUAAGGAAUAAUGGUCAAGAGGCGCUAGCCUGAAACAGCCAAGUAGCGUGAAGGAUGAAGGCUGAUGGGUCGUAAACGUCUUUUAUAUAAGAAUAGGUAGUAUAAGAAUAAGGAUCGGCUAACUCCGUGCCAGCAGCCGCGGUAAGAG